GACGAACGCUGGCGGCGUGCUUAACACAUGCAAGUCGAACGGAAAGGCCCUGCUUUUGUGGGGUGCUCGAGUGGCGAACGGGUGAGUAACACGUGAGUAACCUGCCCUUGACUUUGGGAUAACUUCAGGAAACUGGGGCUAAUACCGGAUAGGAGCUCCUGCUGCAUGGUGGGGGUUGGAAAGUUUCGGCGGUUGGGGAUGGACUCGCGGCUUAUCAGCUUGUUGGUGGGGUAGUGGCUUACCAAGGCUUUGACGGGUAGCCGGCCUGAGAGGGUGACCGGCCACAUUGGGACUGAGAUACGGCCCAGACUCCUACGGGAGGCAGCAGUGGGGAAUAUUGCACAAUGGGCGGAAGCCGGAUGCAGCAACGCCGCGUGCGGGAUGACGGCCUUCGGGCUGUAAACCGCUUUCGCCUGUGACGAAGCGUGAGUGACGGUAAUGGGUAAAGAAGCACCGGCUAACUACGU
rnacentral:rRNA from 1 species